UACGUAGGCAGCGAGCGUUGUUCGGAGUUACUGGGCGUAAAGCGUGCGUAGGCGGUUUUGUAAGUUUGGUGUGAAAUCUCCCGGCUUAACUGGGAGGGUGCGCCGAAAACUGCAAGGCUGGAGUGUGGGAGAGGUAGGCGGAAUUCCCGGUGUAGCGGUGAAAUGCGUAGAUAUCGGAAGGAACAUCAGUGGCGAAAGCGACUUCCUGGACCAGUACCGACGUCAGGCACGAAAGCGUGGGGAGCAAACAGG
rnacentral:rRNA from 1 species